rnacentral:rRNA from 1 species
UACGAAGGGGGCUAGCGUUGCUCGGAAUUACUGGGCGUAAAGGGCGCGUAGGCGGCACUGUUAGUCAGGCGUGAAAAUUCCUGGGCUCAACCUGGGGACUGCGCUUGAUACGGCAGAGCUUGAGGAUGGAAGAGGGUCGCGGAAUUCCCAGUGUAGAGGUGAAAAUUCGUAGAUAUUGGGAAGAACACCGGUGGCGAAGGCGGCGACCUGGUCCAUUACUGACGCUGAGGCGCGACAGCGUGGGGAGCAAACAGG